CGUCUUCGCUCGGGGCGCCAAUCGAGGCUGAGAGGAACCCGUCGAACCUGAUCCGGUUUGAACCGGCGUAGGGAAGCGAGCCAAGCGCUCC
rnacentral:ncRNA from 2 species